rnacentral:RNase_P_RNA from 1 species
CGGCGUCGGCAUGCGGCCGCUCGUGCAACCCGCCCCGCGCGGGUGCGCCCGAGAGGAAAGUCCGAGCACGAAAGGACACGGUGGUGGGUAACACCCACCCGCCCGCACGGUCGCGGGCGCGGGACAGUGCCACAGAAAACACACCGCCGAUGGCUCGCCCGACGGCGGGCACAGGCAAGGGUGAAAUGGUGCGGCAAGAGCGCACCGCUCGACUGGUGACAGCCGAGGCACGGCAAACCCCACCGCGUGCAAGGCCAAGCAGCUCCCCCGAUCGUCCGGCCCUCGCGCCGAACGAUCCACCGCCUGUCCGGCGGCUGCGGGGGCGGGUAGGCCGCUACCGAUCGCGCCGGCAACGGCGCGGCCAGAGAAAUGGCCGCACGGCUCGGCAGGUCCUCAGGGAAACCGCCGAUCCGACAGAACUCGGCUUACAGCCGACGCCACGAC